GAGGUCGAGUGUCCUCAUCUCCAUCACCUGACCAUCACUCGAUCACAUCACUCGACCCCGAGGUCGAGUGUCUUCACCUCCAUUAUCAAACC
rnacentral:sRNA from 1 species